rnacentral:rRNA from 1 species
GAUGAACGCUAGCGGAAGGCAUAAUACAUGCAAGUCGAACGGAUGUAGCUAUACAUUAGUGGCGCACGGGUGCGUAACGCGUAUGCAACCUACCUUCAUCAGGGGGAUAACUACCCGAAAGGGUGGCUAACACCGCAUAAUACUAUUGAGUGGCAUCACUUGAUAUUUAAAUCUGAGGAGGAUGAAGAUGGGCAUGCGUCUGAUUAGCUAGUUGGUGUGGUAACGGCGCACCAAGGCGACGAUCAGUAGGGGAACUGAGAGGUUGGUCCCCCACACUGGCACUGAGAUACGGGCCAGACUCCUACGGGAGGCAGCAGUAGGGAAUAUUGGUCAAUGGUGGGAACACUGAACCAGCCAUUCCGCGUGCAGGAAGAAGGGUCUCUGACUUGUAAACUGCUUUAGCAAGGGAAGAAAAAGCUCAUGCGUGAGAAAUUGACGGUACCUUGAGAAUAAGCACCGGCUAACUACGUGCCAGCAGCCGCGGUAACAC